GGAUGUGAGGGUGAUCUGGCUGUGACAUCUGUCACCCGAAUGAUUGCCAGGGUUGAUUCGGCUGAUCUGGCUGGCCAGGCGGGUGUCCCCUUCCUCCCUCAACGCUCCAUGUGCAUCCCUCCUGAUGCUGCACCCUCAGUCAAAGACGACAACCUUCCCCAAUAGAGGAGGACCUUUCUUCAGUCAAGGGUAUACGAGAGUAGCUGCGCUCCCCAGCUAGAACCUCCACACAAGCUCUCAAGAAAUUAGAAAAACAAGAACAAAAUAAAUCCAAAGCAAAGGAAAGAAAUAAUAAAGAGUAGUUAU
rnacentral:snRNA from 1 species